UUUAAUCUUUUCAAUUUUCCGAGCAUGCAAAUGAAUUGUUUGUACAAUUGCAUGUUAGUAAUUUGAAGUGGGCCAGGGAAACUAAUUUAUGAGUUAUGCCAAGGUUUGUCAUAUUAUGUAAAAUUCAAAUGUUAUUUUCUUUUAAAAUUUUUAAAAUUUAAACAUAUUUAUUUUUGACGAAUGAAAAAAAGUAUUGAAAGCAAUUGACAAGCGUUGUAGAAGAAAACAUUGCCAUCCCUAAUGCACUUUGAAACUUAAAUUAAAAUCUCGCCAUGGCCGUCAUUAUCAGGCGAUGGCAACUGGCAGGCAUGCCACAUCCGACAAAUACACAAAUGCGGGUAACAACAGAAACAACACAAAUGGGUGGGGAGUCGGAGGCAUACCCCAAAAAUAUCUAACACAUGGCAGUUCGAAGACAAUGCGAAAGCAGCCGCCAAAUCAACGCAGCCAGCAACGGAUGCCAAAAUGUUUAUGCGCAUAAUGAACAAGCGCCAUGUGCAAGGGAUUCCGGUGUGGGGGCUUGCGGGUGAAAAGGAAUCGCAGGAAUGGAAGAAUAGAUGCCUCGCUGUCCCACUGCCCCCUUAAACGCUCUGCAGCGCAUGUAAUGAAAUCUGUAGGCUGCCAUGCACAGGCACAGGCAUAGUCACAAGCACAGGCUCCGGCUUGGGCGCAUGCAAAUGCAAUUGCAGUCAGAAAUUCGACGGAAUUAUACACGAGAAUUAUGUGUGUGAAAGCGAAAAUUUCGGCAAUUGCGAAUUGCGAAUGACAUAAACGCACACGUGCACACACUGAAAACAAACAAACCGAUAAACAGUUGGCCAGAAUGGUGACGCAUGAAUAUUAAGCAUACGCAGUGUGUCUCGGCCUGAUAUAUUAUAAUGGCAAUUGACAACGUCGAUUUAUUAGGCUUUAUGGUGUAGCUAGAAGGCUACAAAUUGUGUUAUAAGUCUAUCUUGGAUCGAAUUUAAUUUGAAUUCAAAACGUUCCUUCUACAACUGUCGACUCAUUAUGAUUGAUUCUUGAAUUCAUAUCUAACUUCUGGGAUAAAGGGCAAUCGUGACAUUCUUGUUGAUUAAUUUAUCAAAGCCAACGCCUUAGUAGACACUUUUAGAACGCGCUCCAACCCAAUUUGGGCGACGCAUUAAAAUAUCAUUGUGGAUUUUAUUUGUAUGCAUUUCCCCUGUGUGCGUUUUCUCAAUCAUUUAUCAAGUGAGUUUUCAUAAAAUGUCACGCACUGCAAAAAUGUUCCCCGUUGGCAGCUUAUAAAAAUGAUGCCCCUGUUUCUGCUGCUUCUCAGCUCAUAAGUCAGCACGACAACGAAAAAAUAUUGCAACUCUGUAAGUUCUCUUCCUGAACGUCCUUCUCAGUGUGUGUGCAAUGACAAAAAUCUAGUGCAGUGAAAAAAAGAAAAUUGUUAGCAAUGACUAAGAGCAUCAAACAAAAGGAUUUUCCAGGCGAUGUCGGCAACUUAAAGCUGAUUUCGUAUCCUAACUCAUAUUUGACAAUAUUACUUUGUAGCAUAAGACAGCAGAUGGAGCAUACACACAGUUACACACACAUACACACACACAGCCACGCUCACGCAUGUGUGCCUUACAGCCAAUAAGUUGACAGCAGCCGUUGCCAUUGCAGGAAAAUUCUGUCGCAGCAACUUUAUGUCUGUGUGUGUGUGUGUGUGAGAGAGAGAGAGAGCGAGCGUAAGUUUGUGUAUGUGCCUUGCAGUUACGACUUAAAGCUUUUAAUAAAAAUGUCAACUGCAUUGAAGGGAAAUACUUUCAAACAUGAGAAUGUGUGUGGCAAAAAGCGAAGAACAAAAUAAAAAUGUUAUUGAAAUGUGCAAAAGGUAACUAAGCGAAAGGUUAAAGUUUUCCAUAGAAUUUAUUUAUAGUUACCCAUGAUUCCAUACUCACUUUCCUAGUUAAAUAUGAAUUGAAAGUGUGCUUCAAUAUUUUAUUACAAAAUAUUUUAGUUGCUUACAUUUAACUACUCUUUACACAGGCUUCAACACACGACCAACUAAAUAAAUCUUUGUCUGGUCUUUAACAGCGAAUAAAAAUGGAUGAUCAGCAAUGAAAUAUUGGCGUAUGUCGCUGUUAUUAGCUGCGGGCUCUGAAUUAUAAAAUGAGUUUAUAAAGUUUAAUACAUGAUUUGAAAAUAUUAUAA